GCAACUAUACAUCCAAUAACCGAAUGCCGACAAGGCUACAUACAACCAAACUAGACAUACUGUCUACAGACCUCUAAUAGAAAUAUAACUGUACAAAGACGGGACUGAGCCAUGUCAUACCCAUAUAUAUAUAUAUAUAUAUAUACAAAUGUAUCGUACCAAAAUCAAAAGUAGCUCCGGAUCAAGUGGAGCACGCCAACUCUCGCUGAUCAGGGAUCCUAAGAAGGGGGACCGUCAGCUUGCCUACCUUCACCUGCGGUCAUGAAACGCAGGCCCCAUGAAAUAGGGCGUCAGUUCGAAAAAUGUACUGAGUAUGUAAGGCAUGAAAAUUAGUACGUAAAAGACAUAGAUGAAACAUGGAAUACAGAAACACAUCUUUAAAUCUGAAUAACUUUGUCAAUUCUGAAACGUUUAUAAUGUCAUGCACGUGCGUAUAAAUGUCGUGCCAUGUAUAGGUAUGGGUGUACAUAAUAUUAUCAAGCUACUGAGGGUAUCCCAUCAUAUCGUCUCGGCCACUGUGGGCAACAUCAUCAACAUAUACCAGUUGAUUAGGUGGUGGUGCGUAUAUAAUGUCGUAACCUUUUUUCAUAUCCCAUAUACAUAUAUUUACAUAUAUACGCGUAUAUAACUCCAUCUGGUCAUGGGUCAAUGCAAUUGUAUAAAUGAGUGAAAUGCAUGAAAAAUACGUAAUAAUCUCAAUAUUCCUUCCGGAUAAACUUUUCCAACUGCGUAUUAUUCUAAGACCCAUGAACAGAAGAUAAUAAUAAUUCUCAUAGGGGAAUCAAGAAUAUAGACACCCCUACUAUUUCUAUGAAUAGAGUAAUUUAUGAAAAUUGUGUGUUUGCUCGUUUCUUCAGUAUAAUUUGGACCAUGACAAAAGGAAGAAGGGAUGGCCUAAACAUACAUGAAGUAUGAAAAACUCCAUAAAAUAUUCCGUUGGAAACCUUAUGAACGAAUUUUUUUUUGCCUAGGAUUCAUUGAAAGUUGGAACGAAAUCAUUUCUGAAUAAAGCUUNNNNNNNNNNNNNNNNNNNNNNNNNNNNNNNNNNNNNNNNNNNNNNNNNNNNNNNNNNNNNNNNNNNNNNNNNNNNNNNNNNNNNNNNNNNNNNNNNNNNNNNNNNNNNNNNNNNNNNNNNNNNNNNNNNNNNNNNNNNNNNNNNNNNNNNNNNNNNNNNNNNNNNNNNNNNNNNNNNNNNNNNNNNNNNNNNNNNNNNNNNNNNNNNNNNNNNNNNNNNNNNNNNNNNNNNNNNNNNNNNNNNNNNNNNNNNNNNNNNNNNNNNNNNNNNNNNNNNNNNNNNNNNNNNNNNNNNNNNNNNNNNNNNNNNNNNNNNNNNNNNNNNNNNNNNNNNNNNNNNNNNNNNNNNNNNNNNNNNNNNNNNNNNNNNNNNNNNNNNNNNNNNNNNNNNNNNNNNNNNNNNNNNNNNNNNNNNNNNNNNNNNNNNNNNNNNNNNNNNNNNNNNNNNNNNNNNNNNNNNNNNNNNNNNNNNNNNNNNNNNNNNNNNNNNNNNNNNNNNNNNNNNNNNNNNNNNNNNNNNNNNNNNNNNNNNNNNNNNNNNNNNNNNNNNNNNNNNNNNNNNNNNNNNNNNNNNNNNNNNNNNNNNNNNNNNNNNNNNNNNNNNNNNNNNNNNNNNNNNNNNNNNNNNNNNNNNNNNNNNNNNNNNNNNNNNNNNNNNNNNNNNNNNNNNNNNNNNNNNNNNNNNNNNNNNNNNNNNNNNNNNNNNNNNNNNNNNNNNNNNNNNGGUCAUUUUCAACGAAACUCGUUUUCUUUAAUUCGUGUACCCUUUAUCCUUCAUGACACUUAUUUAUUGCUUGUUAUAAAUAAUAUAAAUGCGUUAACGUCAAGAUGAUCUCAUCCCCUAGUCUAUGUCAAUUAACCGAAGACGAAACUUUUAACGUACGAAAAUGCGAGAUGUAAUAGAGAGUUAGCCUCACAUACCUUAACUUCCUGCUCUUGAGCAUAAUACAACAUUUGUCAACCCUUUCAACUUUAAUCUAUAGCAAUACAAGUCAAAGGGAUUCCAUAUUAGCAAUGAUACUCAUAUUUUGGUCACUUAAGUAUUUUAUCAAACACUUGGUGAGAAUAAAGCUUCAUAGUCCUUAUUAAUGGUGUCUCUACACCCAAUAACCCAUUCUCUUGCCCCUAGAUAAAUUCUAAAAUCUCAAAUGGUUAUAAUCAACAUCAUUCUUCAUCACAUAUAAGGUAAACAACACCAUUAACCAGUAAUCAACAAUCAACUACCCAAACCUACAAUCGUUCAUGCUUUUCUAUCAAAUCCAUCAACUCAUAUCUCAUGAACUAGAGUCUAUAAUUAUUAAUUCUGUUUACCGUAAAAAUGGUAAUAACAAUUAAAUUUGUUGAUGAGACUCUAAAAAUACGUGAUCUAUUUUUAUUCUAGUUUGUUAAGCAGUUAAUGCUAUGUAUAUGAGACUUUGAAACGAAAUAAGAAUUAAGGAUAGGGCGAAAAUCAAACCGUUAGACCAAUAAUCAGGGCCUCGGGCUCGUCGAUUUUAGGCCUCGGGGUCGAUCCCGGGGCUUGAUUACGAGCUAGCAACGACAGUUGCUAUGUGACUAACGGUUAUAAUAAAAUCAAUGGAGGCUUUUUAUGGUCAAUGAGAAGCAAUAAAUGAAGAACAAGUAUGAAGACAAUAAAUGGAAGCAAUAAUAUUGAGAGAAUAUGUUAGAGAUUGAAAUAAAGAGUUCUUGUAUAUUUUCAUGUGAAGUAACCGAAAUGACCAACCCUUACAAAGUAAUAGGGAUCCCCUUCGUAUAGGAGGGAAAUCCCAUAAUAGUACAAUAAGCAUUAAUGAUAAAGAAAUCGGGAUGGGACAACUGGCUAACUUUAUGAUGCAGGCUCAGACUAGCUUUAGACUAGCCUGACAGAUUUUGUCGGCCCUGGCUGCACUCUUUGGGAACUCCCCAUACCCGUUGGGGUCAUGGCCAUCAUUACCCCUAGGUCGGGUGUCGAUAGACCUCGAGGGAGGGUACUCGAUCCAUGGUCUCGAGCCUUCGAGGUGAUCUUCUGAGAUGCCUUAUCAACGAGAAAUUGAUUCCUACGAUUUUGCCGUGUACAGAUAGUCCCCACAUUUCUUAGAAAGGAGCGACAAGAAACGAUUUUGUCAUCCGACUCUUCGGACUUCCCGUGAUGACGUCAUACUAAUGACGCAAUCCCCCAUGAUUGCUGAAACGUUCUGUCGUUUCGAUUCUCCAGGAUCAUUCAACGUAUUGCGGUUUCUCAUUCUCUAAAACUAUAAUAUCGUCGUCGAUUCAGCUUCCAGGGACGCAUUAAAUGCGCCUGUCAUUAUGUUUUUCGAGGUUAAUAAUGGCGCCGUCGGUUACAUUGCCCCCUUUCUAUAAAUGGGGGCCUCCUAGGAUCAGCCUUUUAUCCAAGUAUCUUCCCGUACCUAUCCAUUCUUCCUUUCUCGCUAUUUUUAUUCUGUGUCGUUCACCAUGUUUGAGGCACAUGACCUUAAGAUUGCAUGGCGGGCGGUACUUCUAUCAGGCAUGUCAUUGCCUAUCUCCUAGCCCUUCUCUGGUCGAGUGAGAUUAUGCUAUUUUUUUUUUGUUGUUGUUGGCUCGGGACGACGAAGCAGAGGCCGAUUUCCUCUGACCCGAGGAAGUAUUUGGAUUAUACACCGCUGCUCAAGAGGGGGCUCAGACUAUACACCGCUGCUCACCUCCCCUGAUUACCCGGUGCGGCGCCUUACUCCCUUUGCUUUCCUGGAGUGAAGUGGUACUAUCUACUAACUGUUGCAUCCCGCACCGGGGCAACGUCUCAAGAAAUGGAUUUACAAUAAUAGCCUGGCAAAAUCCAUACUAGCUAGAUUUUUCACCCAGCCACUUCUUCGUUCAUUCCUGCCUCUUCCACGUCACUUUGCUCUUCUCCAUCGCUUUCCUCUUUGUCGUCCCCCCUUUUGAAGAUGCCAUUCUGGGGAAUCGAGAUAACACUCCCGAGGGGAUUGUACUUGGAAGAUAUUGUCUUUGAGGAUGCAUGCCUGAGGAGAUGAUGCCCGAAAAUGUUGCUGCCAAGGACGCACCUUUGAGAAUAGGCUAGGCUCUUAGGCGUUUACUAUAUGUACACCUUCCUGCUUCUUUGUUUCUGUGUAAGGAAGCCUAUCGGGCUUUUGUAAUCAUAUGUAAGGACCCCUAGUGGGCUUUUGUAAUUGAAUAUUCAUGAAUACAGAGAUAUUUCCCCAAUUUUUAUCUUUAACACUUGCUAUAUUCUUUUACAUUUGUGUUGAUUCCGCAUGCACGACUUUGUCUGUUGUUGCUAGUACCGAACCUGGGUGCGCGUAUUCCUUCUGGCCUUUAGUUGAUAAAAACGGCUUCCCGUGGGAUCUUUUUUCAUUCCUCGGGCCUAACCUAGAUUGAUCUGAUAAAAUCGGGUCCUCCGGAUCUGUACUUUGAGUCGGAUGGAAGUAAGGCUUCGAACCCCUAAAUUGAGACUUAGCCUUUAGACCUUCGAGAGCAGUCCCCGAGUGAAAGUUGACUCGGGGCAUUUGGUGAUUUGUCUUGAACUUAAUGUAUGCAAUCUUAAGGCAUUGUAGACAGGUCCCGUAUGAGGGACUGCCCGAUUUAGGAUGAUAUCUGCAAUGCUGUUUUAAGGCUUCUUGGAGCCUAACUUAUUUUUCGAAGGAGGUCCUUGAGAUCAGGAACUACCUCGGGAUUUAUGAUGAUGCCAAUGGCUCUCUGGGGCCUAAAUUUUUUUGGAUGGAAUCCUCGAGGUCAGAUAUUUCCUCGGGGCUGGCGAUGAUGUCGUUGGCCUUUUAAAGCGUAGCUUCUUUUUGAUGGAGGUCCUCAAGGUUAGGUACCACCUCAGGACUGGCAAAGGCAUCAUUGGUCAGUGUUCUUACCCGGCUUUGAGGCAGGCGAAUCAUCGCCGUUUUUUCCAUAUAUAAAUAGGGUUGUUUCUGCUUUUUCAAGGGUUCCACCAUUUUUAGCAGUUGCCCUGCUAUUUUUGUGCCAGCCUUUCGGAACUUCAGCACUAACGCACUUGCACAUAUUCCUGCUUUUUAGUUCUCUAAUUUCGUCACCGCCAUGGACGCUAUAUCGGGGUCUGUCCGACAGAGAGGGGAGAGCUCCACCUCCGGCCUUCAGGACCAACGAGAGUAUGCCUUGAAGACUACCUCAUUGAUAGGAGAAGAGCAUCUUGAGUUAGAAACCCAGGGUCGCAUACACCGAGUGACCGUGCUUCGAUCGGAGUGGGCUCUUUCAGGGCCGAAGGGACUGGACUGGCAGGUGUGUGCUCAACCUUCGAGAAAGCCCAGUGGCUUCACUUUGUGGUGAGUUUUGGCACAAGUUUUUCGAGCUUUGCGCCUUCCCUUCCUUAUUGAGUUUUCUUUUGUAGGCAUUCGACAAGUUUAAGUUCGUGCUGCUUCGUUGUGAAGCCAGGAUAUAGAAAGCUCUGGAUGAGGAGAGAUCCCUUAGGCUCCUUUGUGAUAAAAAAGAAGUCAUGUUGGUACAUUUGCAGUAUGAGGUGGGCCAGAGCUUGAAUUACGAGAACCACCUGAAGGAGCAGGUAGUUUUUUGUUCCGGGUGAGUGUGUAUUCUGCCUCCUGGUUCCUAGGGCUAAUACUUAGUUUAUUUCAGUUGCAGAAAAUGGCGGAGGCCCUAGAGCGCCUUUGAGAUGAAGUUGGCAGAGCCAGGCAUGAGCAUGAUGAAUUGAAAGCUCGGGCGGAGGCUCAGGCUUUAGAGGGGAAGGAUACUCUGGCCAAAGUUCCUGCUUUCAAAGCUCAACUUCGCCUAGCCCGUGACAAUGCUUUGGUUCAGAUAGAAAUGGUUGCAAAGCUCGAGUUCGAGCUUUCGAAAGCCGGGGCUGAGAUCAUUGAUGCUCAAGCAGAAGCUGCAGUGAGCUGGACUAAGGCUGACCAGGAGAUGGCGAUCUAUUCAAAGGAUGUUGCCGAUGCUCAAGCUGAACUUAGAAGGAUCCUCGACCGCGAAGGGAGGGUUGAAGAAUAUGCUCAUUACAAGUCUCGAAAAAAGACCCUCGAGGAGAUCUGCGAUAGGGGUUUCGCCCUCUUAGAAGAAAUGGCGCUAGCAAGGGAUGACAAGCGUGAUGCUCGGUUGUGUUUGCCGGAUGUCGAGGAAAGCAAGGAUGAGACCGAUAGGUCAUAACCCCCGGGGGGAGGAAUAAAUUUUGUCAUCUGUAUGUAGCAUUUUCAAAGCAUGUUUGUAGCUAGAGGUUGCGUUUUUUUGCAUAUAUGUAUGAAAGAGAACCUUGCGGCUUUAUUUCUUUCGUAUCUUUUUCUGUUUUGAUUUUGACCAGGCAAGCUGGUUUUUGCGUUGGUAGGAAACCUCAGAGUAGUGAUGUGGCCCCAGGGAUCAUUAGACUAACCCGAAGGCUCUUACGUACUUUUGCUCUCAGACAUAUUUAGGCCACCUGUUUUGGGCUCAGUCCCCAAGUCGGGCAUCGACUCGAGCUUAUUUGACCUUUGAAUGGCUGAAAUUUAGGCUGGCGAUAGUGGCUCUUACGCUUUUGGUCGAUGCGACCUUUUGUAUGUAUGGCCUUGGGGCUCAUUAGGCUGGCAACAAUGGCUCUUACUCUUUGCUCUUAGGCAUGUGUAGUUAACUGUUUCGUGUUUAGUCUCCGGGUCGGGUUUCGACUCGAGCCCAAUCGACCCUCAAGUUUUUGAAUUUGCGUGGGCUGGCGAUAGUGGCUCUUACGCCUUGGGUCGAAGUGACCUUUUAUGUGUGCGACUCUGAGGCUCAUUAAGCUGGUGAUAAUGGCUCUUACGCUUUGCCCUUAGGCAUGUAUAUUUAACUAUUUUGGGUUUAUUCUCCGGAUUGGGUUACGACUCGAGCUCAUUUUGACCCUCAAGUUUUCAAAUUUCAAGCUGAUGAUAGUGGCUCUUACGCUUUUGGUCGAUGCGACCUUUUGUGUGUGUGGCCCUGAGGCUCAUUAGGCUAGCGACAAUGGCUCUUACGCGCUUGGUCAAUGUGACCAUUUAUGUAGGACUUAUUUUUCCUCUCGUUAAGGGGGUUUGAAGUAAUUUUUGUCUGACCCAUUGUCGGUCGGGAAAAACCUCGAUUUUGGGUAACUUGCGGCGAUGUUCGAGCAUUUCGGGAGGUUUGGCUCGGAGGCUGAGUAGCUCGAAGCCUGUGAUCAGGAGCUGACAUGGUCGAAGCUCAUUUUCCUAUGCUGAGGGUAGCCUGUUUAAUCAGUUCUUUCCAAAGUAGAUUCAGAAUAAUUUAAGGCCUGUAUGGGCUGGCGACAAUGGCUCUUAUGCCUUGUAGCGACGGUCGGCCAUCCCCGAGUUGCGUUAGUUCGGCUGGUACAAUCGUGUGACCGGAGUCACUUGUGUUUGGCCGGAGCCUUUGAUUGGGGUCUUACAGUUUUGUCACUUGGUACAAGUAUGGUUCAUGCCUUGCUUUAGGUCUUAUAGAUUUUACAUGUUGUUGAGGUCUUACAGAUAUAGUUUCUACCUUAUGUAGGUCCUAUGAGACCGAGUCUGCCCACUCGGGGUCUUAGGGCCUCGGGUUUUGAUAAGUCGAUGAAGGUGGCGCUUGACGGCAGUCCCCGAGUCGUCGAGGGUUUCUUGACUCGGGAGCCAUUGUUUGCAAACUUUGUAUUGCCUCGUCGAGGGCUUACGAUUUUGGAGAUCCCGACCCUGAGGUCGUGCAUUUUUUGAGACUUCGAUGCCAUCCCCGAGUAUUCAGGGUACUUUCAGCGUUGGAGAUGUUUUGAGAUUUUCAUGUUGCCUCAUUUGAGGGCUUAUGAUUUUGGAGUCCCGACCCGGAGGUUAUUCAAGUAUUGAAUCGUGGACGCCAGUCCCCAAGUAUUCGGGACAUUUUCGGUGGGGAAGUAGUUUUCGCGGAGGUGCCGAGCUUCUUUUGGAGUGCGAGACGCUUUGAUAAAAGAUAUUCUUUAAUUGUUUGAUACAAGUGUACAUGUUUUUGCUGAUAGGGGCCCGGCUAUACGGGCACGGUUCGUUCAACUGUUUGGCCCGGUACAUCAUUUUCCUAUAGGGACCCCAUUUGGCGUUUCUUGGCUUUUCCGAGCGGAUGGCCUUCGAGGUGGGAAUGCCCCUCAAUGCUCGAGGUUGAUAGCAAAAGAAGCCUCGGACACUUGUUGAGUUUCCCUUAGGUAGCAUGUAGAUGUUGCCGCGUUAAAAACCUUGCCGGUAAAACCCUUUUCAGGAUUAAAACUCGGUCGAAAGAAAAGAGUGCAACGAAUGCUUUAAAACCUUAAGGUCUUCGAGCUGGGUUGACGCUCUAACAGCUUCGAUCGGGUGCCUGCAUAAAGGUUAGUCUGAAAUAUGAGAUGAAAAUGGAUAUGGUUUUACCUUAGUGUGAGAUGCGUCGGCGAUAUUUUGAGGACUGAUAUGUUCUGAUCACUCAAGAUGAGGACGCGGUACGGUCCUUUAUUUCGUUUAAUUGGGCUUAAUAGAAGGUGUGGCUUGAUUACCCUUUGGCUCUUUUCCGAGCGGGGGUAGGGGUGUCGGUGCUACGUCGUGCACCACGAAUAUUUCCCUUGCCGCAUGUUGUUCCCCGUAGAUAGUUUUAAUCCCAUCAUUUGUUAGGAAUUUCAUCAUUUGGUGCAAAGUGGAUGGUACUGCCCUCAUAAGGUGUAUCCACGGCCGUCCGAAUGAGGCGUUAUACCUCAUGUCUCCUUCAAUAACAUGGAAUUUGGCGUUUUGGGUCGUGCCGGCCACGGUGGCUGAGAGGGUGAUUUCUCCUUUUGUUGUUUCACUUGCCAUGUUGAAUCCGUUGAGGACUCGAGUGGCGGGCAUGAUUUGGCCAAGCAGUCCGAGCUACUCUACCACCCUUGACCUGAUAAUGUUGGCCAAACUACCUGGAUCCACGAGUACAUGUUUUAUUUGGAAAGAAUUUACAAAGAAAGAGAUUACCAGUGCGUUGUUGUGAGGUUGAGACAAGGUCUCGGUGUCCUCUUCGCUGAAUGUGAGGGAAUCCUUGGGUAUAUACCCUUGAAUUUGCUUUUCUCUUGUGAUGGAUAUUUUUGUCCUUCUCAUCAUGGGUUCCUGCGGGGCAUCAACGCCUCCCAAGAUCAUGUGGAUGACGUGUUGUGGUUUGUUUGUUUCAUUCUUCUUGGCUGCCUCUCUUUCUCGAAACUGAUUUUUGGCCCGGUCGCUGAGGAAUUCCCGGAGGUGACCUUUGUUAAGUAGUCAAGCUACCUCCUCUCGGAGUUGAUGGCAAUCCUCGGUCUUGUGGUCGUGCGUGUUAUAAAACUCGUACACUAAGUUAUGUUUCCUUUGUGAAGGAUCCGAUUGUACAGGCCUGGGCCACCUGGCAUCUCCAAUUUUACUGAUGGCGAACACGAUGUCCGGUACAUCGACGUUGAAGUUUUAUUCUGACAAGUGAGGUGCCCCCGUUGGCCCUGCGUUCCUAUCAAAUCUGGCUAUAUUGAUGAGUCCAUGAGGAUCUUGUCCUCAGUCUAUCCUUCGAUCAUUGCGAGGUGGGCUGCACCUCAGGGCGUUCCUCCUGUCUUCAGCGUAUGGCUGAUAACUUUCUUUGUUUGGCUUUGGUUCCUUCGUCGGAAGCCUGCUUGGGUAUACUGAGCCCGAGGGGGCUCCCAACUGGUCAUAUUCGGCCCUGAUCUUCGACUGGUAUCGGUUGUGGACGUCCGACCAGGUCAUAGCAGGAUAUUCGAUCAAAUUCUGUUUCAACUAUUUUGAAGCCACCGAGCUUUAUUCAUUCAGACCUUGAAUGAAAGCCUGUACUGCCCAAUCGUCGGAGACUAGCGGUAGUUCCAUCCGUUCCAUUUGGAAGCAAGAUACGAAUUCUCGUAGCAUCUCGUUCUCCCUUUGCUUGAUUUUGAAGACAUCGGGUUUCCUUGUUGCUAUUUUGAUGGCACCGGCAUGUGCUUUUAUGAAGGAGUCUGCUAGCAUGGCAGAUGAGUCUAUGGAGUUAGGAUCUAGGUUAUGAUACCACAUCAUGACCCCCUUCGAGAGUGUUUCCUCGAACUUCUUUAGUAAUACAGAUUCGAUCUCGUCGUUCUUUAUGUCGUUGCCCUUCACUACGCAAGUGUAGGCAGUAACGUGUUCGUUGGGAUCUGAGGUCCCACUGAACUUUGGGAGUUCCGGCAUUUUGAACUUUUUUGGAAUGGGUUUCGGGGCCGCUUCCUCGGAGAACAGCAUUUGUAUGAACUUCUCCGAAUCCACACCUUUCAGGAUCGGGGGUGCGCCCGGAAUUUGGUCUACCCUGGAUUUGUAGGUUUCGACCUUUUUGUCAUUGGCUUCUAUCAUUUUAUCGCCCGAUUCAAUCCUUUUGGAGAGGUCCUCAAGCAUUUUUACGAUGAUAGGGUCGGCUAUCGACCCAUUAUUGCUCGAUCUCUCAGGUACCUGUUCGGCUGGGGGAGCUGUCCCCUGUGCUACUGUGCUAGGAGUUUUUUGGUGACUUUGCAACUGAGCAAUAGCUAGCUGUUGUGCCUGCAACAUUUCAAAAAUAACAUGAAGGCUAACCUCACGUUCUUCCCUAGUUGGGGUUUUUUGUGCUUCUUGUUGAUCCCCUUAGUGCACACUCUUGUCAGUGCGGGAGCUUAUGUCGAUGCGCUGAGCAUCGCGUGAGACCGCAUCCAUGGGGAUUGGCUCUGGUGCAUUCCCAAGGUUUUGUGGCGGCACAACAACACCUAGAAUAGCCACACUAUUUUCCACAUGGUCCUCAAGAUUGUUGUUUUCAUCUCCGUUUACCGAGUUAGACAUUUCGACCUGAAAUCGAAGAUCUUGGACAAGAAAAAGCAUGAAAGAUAACUUGCGUUAUGUAGUAAAACCAGCAAGAAAAUAAUCACUAUUAUUUUUAGCCCAACGGUGGGCGCCAAACUGUUUACCGUGAAAAUGGCAAUAACAAUUAAAUUUGUUGAUGGGACUCUAAAAAUACGUGAUCUAUUUUUAUGCUAGUUUGACAAGCAGUUGAGGCUAUAUAUGUGAGACUUAGAAAUGAAAUAAGAAUUAAGGAUAGGGUGAAAAUCAGACCGUUAGACCAAUAAUCGGGGCCUCGAGUUCGUCGAUUCUGGGCCUCGGGGUCGAUCCUGGGGCUCGAUUACGAGCUAGCAAAGAUAGUUGCUAUGUGACUAACGGCUAUAAUUAAAUCAAUGGAGGUCCUUCAUGGCCAAUGAUAAGCAAUAAAUGAAGAACAAGUAUGAAGACAAUAAAUGGAAGCAAUAAUAUUGAGAGAAUAUGUUAAAGAUUGAAAUAGAGAGUUCUUGUAUAUUUUCGUGUGAAGUAACUGAAGUGACCAACCCUUACAAAGUAAUAAGGAUCCCCUUCAUAUAGGAGGGAAAUCCCAUCAUAGUACAAUAAGCAUUAAUGAUAAAGAAAUCGGGAUGGGACAGCUGGCUAACUUCAUGAUGCAGGCUCAGACUAGCAUGACAGAUUUUGCCGGCCCUGGCUGCACUCUUCGGGAACUCCCCAUACCCGUUGGGUCACGACCAACGUUACCCCUAGGUCGGGUGUCGAUAGACCUCGAGGAAGGGUACUCGGUCCGUGGUCUCGAGCCUUCGAGGUGAUCUUCCGAGAUGCCAUAUCACCAAGAAAUUGGUUCCUCCGAUUUCGUCGUAUACAAAUUCAAUAAUAGAAUCAAUUAGAGGGUGAAGAUAUUACCUUUUUGAAGUUCAAUCCCCUUGAAUUCGAGUUCUAGGGUUCCUUCUUUCAACAACGAUGUCCCAAUCGAAUAUCUAAUGAUAUGGAGGGCUUAUCCAUGUUAAUAAGAUGUUGGAAAAUUGAAACUAACUUAGAAUCACCAUUAGGACUUACCUUGGGUGGUGGAGGGACCCUUAAGGGGUUAGGUUUUUGAGAGUUCAUCUUUCUAGAGCAAGUUUUUAUGUUUUGGGGUUGUGGGAGACGAAGUAGGGCUUUAAAAUCACCCCUCAUGAGCGCCCCCGCGCACCUGUAGGCCUGAUCGAACACCUGACCGCGCAAAAUGGCAGUAACACUGUUCUGUAAAAUACACAUAACUUUUUGCACAGAGAUCAGUUGAGGCUCCACAAUAUAUCGUUGGAAAGCUAUUUCAAAGGCUUAAAACUUUCAUCUUUUGAGUUUUCCAAAAUUCCUUACAUAUUUUCACUAACUUCUGCUAGAAGACGGACCUUUUGUAAACUUAGUCGAUUUUGUCGAAUUUUAUGCGCCUCACUCUCCAUCUUGAUUCCGAAACAACUAUUUUCACCAAUAAUCAUCCCUCUAGGACUUCAUAUGUCUAAAAUAUCAAAUUAAUACUCAUUUAACAUAUCCACACCUAGUCUGAAUGUAUGGGGUGUUACAAAAACAUUUUAAUAGAAUGCUAGAAGUAAUAUCAUUUUCAUUUGUCCAAAAAACUUCAUUCCUACUCUUUUCCUUUUUUAUUUUAAAAAAAAAGAAGUCAUAUGUGUACUUGAAGGGACAAUUUCGUUCAAGUACAAGUUACCUGCUAAAUUAAGCUCUAAUUCAUUUAUUAUUUUCCCUCUUACACAUUCUACCAAAUGACCCCUAAAAGAUGGACAGAACUUGCACUGGGAAAUCUAAGGAGUGCAAUUGCGCCUCUUUUUGGCAGUAAACAAUUGAAUUUGAAGUACAAAAAGUCGUAGGAGACUAAAAACUAUGAAAAGGAAGUUAGUGUACUCAUAUCCUGUACCGUAUUAGACAUUGAUUAAGGAAGGAGAAUUACUAUUUCUUUGAAAUUUCUAAAUUUAAAUGACAUAAUCAAGUGAUUUCAUUAAGAUAAUCUCGAACGACUAGUUUUCCAAUUUUUUAAUUUUAAUAAUAUCAUGUUCCUUAGAUAUGUUAUGAUUUUAUAAAAUUUUGAAAUUAUGAGAGAUGUAUAAUAUUUUCAAUAAAAACUUUGGGAUGAUCUGAAUCUCAUACUAUUUUUGUAGUCGUACAACUAAAUUUUAAAAUUAUUCAACGAUACAAAAUUCAAAAGGUAAACCUCAAGGGUGUAGACUACCAUCCAACAGAUAAUAAAUUGGGGGAAAAAUUAUGAGAGAUCUAAGGUUAGAAUUUUAUAGAAACAUAAAAUAUUAUGCAUUUUCGUCACAUCAACUUUGGACGAAAAUACUCAAUACUUUCCUGUGUAAGUUGGGUCAAACAAUACCAUCAUUAAAAAAAUACUAUUACUAAUUAAGAAAAACAAUGUCAAAAAUGAGAGGAAGGGAGUACAACUCAUGUUACUUUAAACAAGCAAAAUGACACUUUAUGUAAACAAGAUCCUCUACGUUUAAUGAGAGAUCUUAAAUUUGAGUCUUGCAAAUGAAGAAAUUUUAAAUUUUGGAAAUAAAAAAUGAUAGAAAAUAUUUUCCCCUUUAAUUGACUUUAUGGGCGUAUGUUAUCUGCUGAUGACAUAGUGUUGAUUGAUGAGAUGCGAGGCGGCGUCAACGAGAGGCUGGAGGUUUGGAGACAGACCCUUAAGUCUAAGGGUUUCAAGUUGAGCAGGACUAAGACGGAGUACCUAGAGUGCAAGUUCAGCGCUGAGCCGACGAAAGCGGGAUUGGACGCGAGGCUUGAUUCACAAGUCAUCCCCAAAAAGGGCAGUUUCAACUACCUUGGGUCGGUUAUUCAGGGGGAUGGGGAGAUCGACGAGGAUGUCACACACCGUAUAGGGGUUGGGUGGAUAAAGUGGAGGUUAGCAUCUAGAGUCCUGUGUGACAAGAAAGUGCCUCAGAUUCUCAAAGGUAAAUUUUAUAGAGCGGUGGUUAGACCGGCCAUGUUGUAUGGGGCUGAGUGCUGGCCAGUUAAAAACUCACAUAUCCACAAGAUGAAAGUAACUAAAAUGAGGAUGUUGAGGUGGAUGUGCUGGCACACCAAGAUGGAUAAGAUUAGGAAUGAAGUUAGUCGGGGGAAGGUGGGUGUCGCCCACAUGGAUGACAAGCGGCGGGAAGCAAGGCUCAGAUGGUUCGGACACGUCUAGAGGAGAAGCCCAGAUGUGCCUGUGAGGAGGUGUAAGUGGCUGGCUUUAGUGGGCAUGAGGAGAGGUAGAGGGCGGCCUAAGAAGUAUUGGGGAGAGGUGAUCAGGCAGGACAUGGUGAGGCUUCAAAUUACCGAGGACAUGGCCCUACACAGGAAGUUGUAGAGAUCGAGCAUUAAGGUUGUAGAUUAGGAGGUAGUUGGGAAUAUCUCUACGGUGCUGCAGAGUGAGGCUAGUCUGUUAGGACUUGGUCUUUGACUGUUAGUAAUUAAUGUUGAGUUCACACAACUUUUUCGUUCCUCUUAGUGAUGUGCUUUAUCUACUGGUUAUUGUUUUGGUUUUCACUUAUUUUCUGGUUCUGGUGAUGUUGUUCUUUGUUCUAUAGUUUCUAUUGAUGGUACUGAUAGAUUGCCUCUUUUCGCCUUCUUUUUGUCUUCUCGAGCCGAGCGUCUUUCAGAAACAGCCUCUCUACCCCCUCGGGGUAGGGAUAAGGUCUCCGUAUACACUACCCUCCCCAGACCCCAAUAGUAAAAUUUCACUAGGUUGUUGUUGUAAUUGACUUUAUGGGUGCAAAUUCAAACUAGUUGAUUUUAGACCUCAUUUGUUUUUAUUAAGAUUAAUAUGUUUGAAUCUGAAUAUAUAUCUGAAUAUUAAUAUGUAUAUUAAGAUUAAUACGUAUGAAUCUGAAUACACAUCUAAAUAUUAAGAUGCUGUAUUAAGAUCUGAAUACUAAAUAAUUAAGAUGGUUUAUUUUCUCUACAUCUGUAUGUGUAAAACUUGUCUUUAUUUUAAAAUUAAUAAGUAUAAAUUCAAAUUAAAUAGUACUAUUAAUAAAAUAUUUUUAAACAAUUAUAUGGUAGUUGGUGGUGAUGAUGGUUAACAAUGAUGGUCGUGGAUGCCAAGUGGGUUGUGGUUGGGGUUGAUGUUGGUUGAUAGACGUGAUUAUGGGUGGUAGAUGGUGGAUGAUAGUAAUAAUUAGGGGUGGUGGUGACUAAUAACAGUGAUGGAUAAUAUAUAGUGGUGGUUGUGGUGAUGGGUGAUUGUUGUGGUAAUGGUAGUUGGUGGUGAUGGUUGAAAACGAUGGUAGUGGUAGUGACAACUGAUAUUUGUGCUUGAGAGUAGUGGUAGUUAUGGCUGUGGAUGGUGGUAAUGGGUAGUGGAUAGUGGCAGAGGUGGAUGCAUGAUUUAAGCUCUAUAGGUUCAACCCUGAAGGUUUUUUGCUAUGAGCAUAUUAUAUAUUUUAAACUAUAGAUUCAAACCUACUACUUAUUAUAAUUUUAGUAAAUUUUUACACAUAAAUUUAUGAUUUGCCCCGAAAGUACUGGGUUCAGUUAAACAUGUUAUUGCCACUCUACAUCCGCCUCUGGAUAGUGGGUGAUGUCAGUCUAUAAUGAUAUGGGUUGGGGGGCACACUGUGGGGUCUGGGGAAGGUAGUGUGUACGCAGACCUUACCACUACUUUGUAAGGAUAGAGAGACUGUUUCCAAUAGAACCUCGGCUCAUGAAAGCAUAAACACCACAUUAAUGAAAAUAUAGACAAGAAGGGACAAUAUCAAAAAGCCAUAUAGAAGCAGAAUAAAAACAAUAAGAUAUUAAGGUGAUCAACAAUGAAAGAAAACAACAGUUAGUCAUAAAAACCUACUACCAACAGAAAGUGAGACUGCGUGCCAAUACUACUGUUAUGAAUACUCUAGACUACCUUGAAAUAUUAUUUUUAUAUAAAUUUUUAAAUGUAUAAUAUUUUAAUGAUAUUAAGACUCUGUUAUAGAUCUUAAUAAUUAUGAUCUAUUCAGACACAUUAAGUGGUUGUAAAAUUCAAAAAAUAAACAGAUUUAAUGGUUAAAAUCUGAAUGAUCAUGAUUCAGAUUUAAAAAACGAAUAUACUUAAUGACUGAAAUCUAAAUGAUUAAGAUUCAUACCUCCAUUAAGUGCAAACAAAUGAGGCCUUAAUGAGUUUUGACAUGGUAUAAUUUUAAAAAAAGUUGUUGACAUGGGUGUUUCUACUAUUAUUCAAAAAUAAGAGGAGCUUUACGCAGUAUCAAAAUGUAAAUACCUUAUGGCACACCUCAUUUUUCUACCCCAAAAAUGGUAUAAGGGUGUUUUUUCUAAUUUAAGUGACAAUCAAAACGGGAUUAUUUAGUUAUUGUUCAGAGUCACCACUUGGGAUAAUUUAUGGUGUCCCAAGUCACCGAUUUUAUAUCCCGAAUCGAGGAAAUAUUGACUCUGGUUUACAAUCCGCGAACACAGAAAUCCGGGUAAGGAAUUCUGUUAACCCGAGAGAAGGUGUUAGGCAUUUUCGGGUUCCGUGAUUUUAGUACGGUCGCUCAACUAUUAUUAUUGGCCGGUUUAUCUGAUUUUAAAACACUUUGGAACCUAUGUGCAUUUUACUCUUUUUAAACCGCUUUUAAUAAUUCAACUGCUAUAUAACUAAUUAUUUGAUUAAACAUUGCGAAUCAUGUCACGGGAACCGUAUCCAUGAUCUACAAUAUAUUUAUUUACUUAACAAGAUUAAAUUGUGGCCGGGUCACAUGAAUGUACCCCCGAAUUUUAGAAUUAUGUAUCACAACUACGUCACGAGAACCAUACCCGUAGUUAUGAUGAUUUACUAUUAAUCGAGGCUAAAGCAAUCUACGAUUGUUCAUGAGUUAUGUUCUAAACUAAUUUAAAAUUAUUGUGAGGCAUGAUUAUGGAGUAGUUGUGAAAAAGUGUAAUAAAUUAGUUAUGAAAAUGUGAUCUAGUUUUAUCUUAUUGAAUUGGGCCUGACGAAAAAUAUUCAUUUGGCCCAUACGAGUAUUCAAGAAUCGGGCAAGAUUAUUGAUUCCAAACAAUGUUAGAUCUAGGAAAAAAAUAAUUUGAUAGCUCAAACAUUUAAAAAAUUGUCAUUCUUAACUAAUUAACGAAGAAAAGCCAUGGAUCAAUUGCCUACUAGACCAACUACUCUAAAGUUUAAAAUCAGAACCCAAACAAAAAUGCAACUUAACAAAAUCUCAAUAUUUAUCAACACUGUUUCAAACUAAACGAGCAAAUUAAUCAUAAAUGAAUAGAUAAGAGUCAACGACUAAAAUGUUAAACAUUAACGCAAGAAAUGACUAAAUCAUGAUUUAUCUAUGUCGAGCAAAAAGUAUAGAGCAUAAAAAUAAUUUCAAACAAAUUAUAUAGCACCAAGAAAAGAAACAGACCUCAAAACAAAGCAAUUUUUGAAUCUAAAAAUGCUUAACACUGGAAACCUUAGACAGUGACAACCUCGGCAGAACCGCAAAUCUGCCCGGAAACCUCAGAUUACGACCUUCGACGAACUCGGAACUCACCGGAAAAUUCGAAUUAAACCAAAACUCGCUGGAAAAUAACUGUGGUUAUACUACGAUACAGCUGGUUUGGAGCUGCGUUUCCCUGGUGUUUGACGGAGGAUUUGCGUGAGAAGGUGUGGCUUGCGGGGUUUUGAAGAUGAAAUGGAUAUGGUUUUCCCAAAUGGCAAAAGCAAGAGAAGCUCUUAAAUUAACAUGGUAAAUCUGGAGGAUGAACUCAAAUUGAUAAGCUUUGUUUGUUUUCCUACCCGUGUUCUCUCGUGUCCCCCUCUUCAGAUCUAUCCCUCCCUCUGUUUUUGUGUGUUUGGAAUUGAGGAAAACUAGACCUUGAAGGUCUUUUAUUUGGGGAAAUUUGGGAGACGGUAGUGGGCUUUAAUUAUCCUAAAGGGUCUGUUGUUAGGUUGUUAGGUUGCUAGGUUGGUGGGAUGUUGCCGUUCCAUUUUUUGGGUUCGGGAUUUUUUAGGUCUUAGACAUUUUUUAGGUGGUAUUUUCGCUUAUAGUCUUAAGAAGAACAACGGAUUUCAGCUAAGGAUCUCU
rnacentral:lncRNA from 1 species